UAUAUAGAACCAUGGGGUUCUUUACUUGGCCAAUAGAACCUUUUACCAAAAAAAGGGUUCCAUAUAGAGCCCUUGGAGGGCAAAGAACCCAUUUUAUUAAAAUGGUUCUAUAAUUCACGUUUGUGACUGAAGUGUAAACAAAAGAUUACACAAUAAUUACAGACCUACACAACUCAUUUACAAACCUACACAACUCAUUCACAAACCUUUUUGUGUCAAUAGGCUGUGGUCAAAUAAAGAGAGAGUCAACAAAUAGGCUAUUCAUAUUUAUUGUAUGACUUAUUUCCUGUGAGCUUUUUUAUGCAAGUUUGUACAUUAGCAUGAAACUUACAGUGCAGUUUGCGUUUUUGGUGAAUAACCAGGUGUUUUCUUUAUUUUGUACAUUCUAUAUUGUCAAUGUUUAAUUUAACCUGAAGGGGCAUUAAAAACAAAUAAUCGCAAAAGUGCCCUCUGGUGGCGUAUAUAUGCGUUGCACCAUAAGCGAAGAUGAGCUUGUUGGGUUAUAUGUUGGGUAAUUUUGAAGCAGAGCCAGCUUAAUAGAUACAUAGCUGUUUCUCAAUAUUACUUUCUCUAGUCCACAAAAUGUAUUUUAAACAUAAGUUCAGGCGAGAAUAUAUAUAUAUAAUGUUCAAAUUUGCAGUCGGUUUGUAAAGUGAACGCCAAUUUUAAAGUUUAAUUACACAAAGUCGGAAUGUUACCGGCGUGACCACCGGGUGUCAGUGUUGUUCUUCCCCAGAGAGAACUCCUCCCAUCCCCCCACACAGACGCGUCAUCUCAGCUGAACUCCUGGCUCUCACUGCAUGGAUACUUGACGCGGGAGUUUACCUCAGGAUUCAUGAACAGUUUUUCAUCGACUUAUUUCUGAUUUAUUUGAAGGAAAAGACCCUGAUGGAUAAAAGAUGGAUAUUUUUUCCUGGAGAAGCUAAAACAAUGUCACUUUGAGGUUCUGAUACCAGCUUUUACAAAGUUAUUUACAGAGUUCACCAGACUUCUCUGUGUUAUUUCCUGACCAUGCCGAAAAGCUAUUUGAAACUUGGGCAUUGCAUUUUCCAGACAGAAUCCUGCACUUCCCAGCCAAGAACCAGGAGCAUCAACAAAUCACCUCCAGAACCCCAUGAUGAUAUUCCAACUCCUGUCUACAAAAGUGGGAAGAAAAUCUUAAGUCUAUGUUGGGACCAACAUGGUUGCAUUCUUCUGAGAGGCUGAUGUGACAAAACCAUUCCCAUUUGUCCUUGGAUUGGAAGAUGGCGAUCUCUGCCAUCAAGCCUUCGUUGUUUUUGACAGACAGUCACUCCAGCAAUACACCCUCCUUGGUGAUGUUGACAUGUUUUAAACUUUUUUUUUAUGUUUUGGACAUUAAUUUUACCAAGCAGUGCACAUCAGUGUGGGUGUUUUUGAAGACUGUUGUUUACAAACUCCCAAGAACGGAAUCCCUUUCUAUAAGAAGUCUGUGUAGUUAUUUGUCAUGCUAAGGUGAUAACUGAUGUUGAUCAUAUAUUGACUGUUUGUGCAACUUUGUGUUGAUCUUAUGUGUUACAUUAACCAUUUCUUAUUACACGGUUCUCUAAAAUGCUAGAUUCUGAUUGGCCAGUCGUGACAUUCUACUACUGCUCAAAACUAAAAACUCCAAUGCUGCAAAUCAUUUUGACAGGUACUGUUUUAUAUUACACAAAAAUUAAAUAUCAAUGUCUAUUAAUUACAUAUCCGACAUUAAAUUUAUAAAUGAUUAAAUGUGUUCGUGACAUUUGUCCUGAAGAAACUGUUGGGGCUUUUUUCUGUGAUGACAUGCUGCCAAUACAUUAUCCCUUACUUGUACAACUUUUUACUUGAUCUAAUUGUAAUGUUAAUUGGGGAUCUGUCAUUUUAGAUUGUGAGAUAUAAUACUAAUAUAUUUUUUUAUUUAUAUAUAAUAUAUAAACGUAUGUAUGUUUAUUAAAAAGUGAAAAUGCUUAAUGGAAAUAAUUAAAUAACUAAAUGGUUGAAUGAAAUGAGACAUUUUAAAUGUAAACUAAAGUUUUGCUGUCUAAUACAGA